CCUACGGGUGACUGCAGUGAGGAAUAUUGGUCAAUGGGCUUACGCCUGAACCAGCCAAGUCGCGUGAGGGAAGACUGCCCUAUGGGUUGUAAACCUCUUUUGUCAGGGAGCAACGCCGGCUACGUGUACCCGGACUGAUAUUACCUGAACAAAAAGCAUCGGCAAAUUCCGUGCAAGCAGCCCCGGUAAUACGGGGGAUGCGAGCGUUAUCCGGAUUUUUUGGGUUUAAAGGUUGCGGAGGCGGAAUUCAAAGUCAGCGGUAAAAUCGAGGGGCUCAACCUCGCUCCGCCGUUGAAACUGGCGUUCUUGAGGGGGCGAGAAGUAUGCGGAAUGCGUGGUGUAGCGGUGAAAUGCAUAGAUAGCACGCAGAACUCCGAUUGCGAAGGCAGCAUACCGGCGCCCAACUGACGCUGAUGCACGAAAGCGUGGGUAUCGAACAGGAUUAGAUACCCUGGUAGUC
rnacentral:rRNA from 1 species